rnacentral:rRNA from 1 species
AUUGAACGCUGGCGGCAGGCCUAACACAUGCAAGUCGAACGAGUAGCGGACGGGUGAGUAAUGUCUGGGAAACUGCCCGAUGGAGGGGGAUAACUACUAGAAACGGUAGCUAAUACCGCAUACCAUCGGAUGUGCCCAGAUGGGAUUAGCGAGUAGGUGGGGUAACGGCUCACCUAGGCGACGAUACCUAUCUGUUCUGAGAGGAUGACCAGCCACACUGGAACUGAGACACGGUCCAGACUCCUACGGGAGGCAGCAGUGGGGAAUAUUGCAAAAUGGGGGCAAGCCGGAUGCAGCAAUGCCGCGUGUAUGAAGAAGGCCUUCGGGUUGUAAAGUACUGUCAGAGAGGAGGCGUUACUCGCAGAAGAAGCACCGGCUAACUCCGUGCCAGCAGCCGCGGUAAUAC